UUCUAACAUAUCUCUGCAUGCAGGCCUGAGUUUUUGUCCCAUUUGUGGAAUUCCUUGAUUUAGGAGAGGUCCCCGGACUUCACUGCCAUACAGUCCAAGCCAAGAGGUUCCCACUUGCACUGAAUUUCAGCUUGAGGGAGUCUAUGGCAGCCCACAGAACCCCUUAGUGGAUUUGGCACAUUGAUGGAGGACAGUCCAAUGUAUCCAGGCAUGAAAUUUGGGGUCAAUCAAUCCAUCUCUGUAGCGCCACCAACAGGCCAGACUUUGAAG